UACAGAGGUCUCAAGCGUUGUUCGGAUUCAUUGGGCGUAAAGGGGUGCGAUAGGCGGCGUCGGUAAGUCGGGUGUGAAAUCUCGGGGCUUAACCUGGGGCUGCGCUUGAUACGUGUGGACUGGAGUGCGGAAGGAGGUCGUGGAAUUCCCAGUGUAGAGGUGAAAUUCGUAGAUAUUAGGAAGAACACCGGUGCGAAGGCGGCCACUGGUCCGGUACUGACGCUGAGCGC
rnacentral:rRNA from 1 species